UACGUAGGGGGCUAGCGUUGUCCGGAAUCAUUGGGCGUAAAGCGCGUGUAGGCGGUCCGGUAAGUCCGCUGUGAAAGUCGAGGGCUCAACCCUCGAAUGCCGGUGGAUACUGUCGGGCUUGAGUACGGGAGAGGCGAGUGGAAUUCCUGGUGUAGCGGUGAAAUGCGUAGAUAUCGGAAGGAACAUCAGUGGCGAAAGCGGCUUCCUGGACCAGAACUGACGAUCAGGCACGAAAGCGUGGGGGAGCAAACAGG
rnacentral:rRNA from 1 species